GGACAAUAGCUCAGUGGUAGAGCAUUUGCCUUGCCUACGGAAGGUCCCAGUUUCAAUCACUGGCAUCUCCG